GGGGCUGCUGGGGCGUGGACAUCGGGGACGCGCAGGGGCGCGAGCGGCUAGGAGGACGCGCUUCUUUGGUCGCGCGCGCCGCAACCCGGGCCCUGAGUGGAACCCGAAUACGCACGAGGGAGGACCGGGUCGAGCAUGAAGAGGCAGGGGGCCUCCUCCGAGCGGAAACGGGCGCGGAUGCCGUCCGGGAAGGCCGGAGCAGCGAAUGGAUUUCUCAUGGAAGUGUGUGUUGAUUCAGUGGAGUCAGCUGUAAAUGCAGAAAGAGGAGGUGCUGGUCGGAUUGAAUUAUGUUCUGGCUUAUUGGAAGGAGGAACCACACCCAGCAUGGGUGUCCUUCAGGUAGUGAAGCAAUGUGUCCAGAUCCCAGUUUUUGUGAUGAUUCGGCCACGUGGAGGUGAUUUUUUAUAUUCAGAUCGUGAAGUUGAGGUGAUGAAGGCUGACAUUCGUCUUGCCAAGCUUUAUGGUGCUGAUGGUUUGGUAUUUGGGGCAUUGACUGAAGAUGGACACAUUGACAAAGAGCUGUGCAUGUCCCUCGUGGCUAUUUGCCGUCCUCUGCCAGUCACUUUCCACCGAGCCUUUGACAUGGUUCGUGACCCAAUGGUAGCUCUAGAGACCCUCUUAACUUUGGGAUUUGAACGAGUAUUGACCAGUGGAUGUGACAGUUCGGCACUAGAAGGGCUACCCCUAAUAAAGCGACUCAUAGAUCAGGCAAAAAGCAGGAUUGUGGUAAUGCCAGGGGGUGGCAUAACAGAAAGAAAUCUACAAAGGAUCCUUGAGGGUUCAGGGGCUACAGAAUUCCACUGUUCUGCUCGGUCUGCUAGAGAUUCAGGAAUGAAGUUUCGAAAUUCCUGUGUUGCCAUGGGAGCCUCUCUUUCUAGCUCAGAAUAUUCUCUAAAGGUAACAGAUGUGACCCAAGUAAGGACUUUGAAUGCUAUUGCAAAGAAUAUUCUGGUUUAGCCAGACCUCUGAGAGACAUGGAUAUCACAGGUAAAGGUAGAAGAGUAGUCUACAAUUCUCUAUGACACAGCUUUAACUUACUUCUCUGGCAAGGACAGUCACAAUCUUUGUCUUAAGUCUCACAUGGCCAUGGAGAAUGUUUCCAAGAAGAAAAAGAACUUGAAACAGAGCUACAGUCACUUCCUUUGCUUAAUCUUGCCAGCCAUCUCUCCAUCAUCAUGGUUAAAUCUGGUCUAUGUGUCUUCCACAGAUAGAGGCUUACUCUGUUUUCAGUGGAAUUAGUUGAUGAACUGGGAAAAUUCAACUGCAAGGUUAGCUUUCUAGUCUCAGUCUUUGAUAGUUUAAAAGUCCAACCCAGGAAGCCAGGCAUUGAUUAUUGAAGCCAACACUUUGUGCUCUCCACUAUGUGAAUAUAAAAGAAGCAUAAGAAAUUGACAAGAUGACCCUAAAGUUCAUCUGGAAAUGCAAGGGACCCAGAAUAGCC